rnacentral:rRNA from 1 species
CAAGAGCGUAUGUAAAAGUUGUUGCAGUUAAAAAGCUCGUAGUUGAACCUUGGGUUUGGUUGGCCGGUCCGCUUUUUUGCGAGUACUGGAUUCAACCGAGCCUUUCCUUCUGGCUAACCAGUCGUUUCGGCGGCUGGCGAACCAGGAUUUUUACUUUGAGAAAAUUAGAGUGUUCAAAGCAGGCAUUAGCUUGAAUAUAUUAGCAUGGAAUAAUAGAAUAGGACGUUAUGGUUCUAUUUUGUUGGUUUCUAGGACCAUCGUAAUGAUUAAUAGGGACGGUCGGGGGCAUCAGUAUUCAGUUGUCAGAGGUGAAAUUCUUGGAUUUACUGAAGACUAACCACUGCGAAAGCAUUUGCCAAGGACGUUUUCAUUAA